GGUUGGCUCAGCGGUAGAGUGCUCGCCUAGCAUGUGCGAGGCCCUGAGUUUGAUCCUCAGCACCA
rnacentral:tRNA from 1 species